rnacentral:rRNA from 1 species
UACGGAAGGCAGCAGUGGGGAAUAUUGCACAAUGGGCGAAAGCCUGAUGCAGCUAUGCCGCGUGUAUGAAGAAGGCCUUAGGGUUGUAAAGUACUUUCAUUGGGGAGGAAAACAAAACUAAUAAUUUUAUUUCUUGACGUUACCCGAAAAAGAAGCACCGGCUAACUCCGUGCCAGCAGCCGCGGUAAUACGGAGGGUGCUAGCGUUAAUCAGAAUUACUGGGCGUAAAGAGCACGUAGGUGGUUUUUUUAAGUCAGAUGUGAAAUCCCUGGGCUUAACCUAGGAACUGCAUUUUGAAACUGAAAUACUAGAGUAUCGUAGAGGGAGGUAGAAUUCUAGGUGUAGCGGUGAAAUGCGUAGAUAUCUGGAGGAAUACCUGUGGCGAAAGCGGCCUCCUAAACGAAUACUGACACUGAGGUGCGAAAGCGUGGGGAGCAAACAGGGAUUAGAUACC